AAGGAUCAUUACUGAAGAGGAGGAAUGGAGGGAUGGGAUGGGAGAUGGAUUGAAGAUGGAUUGAAAGAUGGAUUGAAAGAUCCAAUCGUCAAUAUCCACUCACCAAACACCACUUGUUUCACAUUUCACAUUUGCGCUUGUGUUGUUUGACAGAGUAAAAUACAAUUCAAAAUUUAGACAACUUUUAACAAUGGAUCUCUUGGCUCUU
rnacentral:misc_RNA from 1 species